GAUGAACGCUGGCGGCGUGCCUAAUACAUGCAAGUCGAGCGAAUGGAUUAAGAGCUUGCUCUUAUGAAGUUAGCGGCGGACGGGUGAGUAACACGUGGGUAACCUGCCCAUAAGACUGGGAUAACUCCGGGAAACCGGGGCUAAUACCGGAUAAUAUUUUGAACUGCAUGGUUCAAAAUUGAAAGGCGGCUUCGGCUGUCACUUAUGGAUGGACCCGCGUCGCAUUAGCUAGUUGGUGAGGUAACGGCUCACCAAGGCAACGAUGCGUAGCCGACCUGAGAGGGUGAUCGGGCACACUGGGACUGAGACACGGCCCAGACUCCUACGGGAGGCAGCAGUAGGGAAUCUUCCGCAAUGGACGAAAGUCUGACGGGGCAACGCCGCGUGAGUGAUGAAGGCUUUCGGGUCGUAAAACUCUGUUGUUAGGGAAGAACAAGUGCUAGUUGAAUAAGCUGGCACCUUGACGGUACCUAACCAGAAAGCCACGGCUAACUACGUGCCAGCCGCCGCCGUAA
rnacentral:rRNA from 1 species